GGUCUGGACAUCCAAAGAAAAAAGCAGAGAUGCUUKGGUGCCUUGGGGAACUGUGAGACAGGUGYUGCAUGGCUGUSGUCAGCUCGUGUKGUGAAAUGUKGGGUUAAGUCCCRCAACGAGCGCAMCCCUUAUCCUUUGUUGCCAGCGGUCCGGCCGGGMACUCAAAGGAGACUCCUUUUAUAACUGGAGGAAGGUGGGGAGCGUCAAGUCAUCAGACCCUU
rnacentral:rRNA from 1 species